rnacentral:rRNA from 1 species
CAAACGACUGCGUAGGUGGCCGGGAAAUGCGUGGGGUCCGGGGGUGGUCCGGAUUCAUUGGGCGUAAAGAGCGCGUAGGCGGUUCCGUAAGUCAGAGGUGAAAGCUCAGGGCUCAACCCGGAGACGCCAUCGGAUACUGCGGUGACUGGAGUCUGGUAGGGGAACACGGAAUUCCUGGUGUAGCGGUGAAAUGCGCAGAUAUCAGGAGGAACACCGAUGGCGAAGGCAGUGUUCUGGGCCAGUACUGACGCUGAGGAGCGAAAGCGUGGGGAGCAAACAGGAUUAGAUACCCUUGUAGUC